GACAGAGGGUGCAAACGUUGCUCGGAAUCACUGGGCGUAAAGGGCUCGUAGGCGGCCAACUAAGUCAGACGUGAAAUCCCUCGGCUUAACCGGGGAACUGCGUCUGAUACUGGAUGGCUUGAAUCCGGGAGAGGGAUGCGGAAUUCCAGGUGUAGCGGUGAAAUGCGUAGAUAUCUGGAGGAACACCGGUGGCGAAGGCGGCAUCCUGGACCGGCAUUGACGCUGAGGAGCGAAAGCCAGGGGAGCAAACGGG
rnacentral:rRNA from 1 species